UGGAAACAAGAAAGAAAAUAUUUACUUUCUGAGGUCCCAAUCCUCUGGUGCAGCCAGCUGUAGAAAAGAGUCAUUCACAUUAGUUAUGAGGCAUCAUGUGAGAAAAUUUACAAAGAAGACAAAAGGUGUGUUUGUGGUUUUAGAUUUCUUCUGUAAAUUACUGCCAUUUCAUUUGGACUCUUUGAUUGGUUUCACUUGAUAUGGCCUGUGUUAUAUUUUAGUGCUGCAAAACCAGCUGCUCCUUGUGUGAAAGUUGAACCAGCAAACAAUGAGGGUUCCGCAACCUGCCCUUCCCAAGCAGAUGUAUGCACCCCUAAACCACCCGCUCUUUCGAGUAAAGAAGGCCGAACAACUACCCAAUUAAAGAAGCCGCAGAUGGCCAAGAGGAUGGAAAGUGCAAUAAAGGAUCCAAUCGAAAUCGAAAAUGUAGUCGCACACGAAAAGUGCUAAACCUGCUGGUGGUUUAAGAAGGGAUACAAACAACUUAAGUAGCUCUACUGGGACGCCAAGUUUUGUUCAGGAAAACCAAGCUAUUAAGAGGCAGAAGCUGGAAGAUGGAAAAACUAGACAGGUCAGUGUGUUCUUCAUCGAUCACUUUUACUAAUUGGAUAAACUCAUAAACUACAAAGCUAAACUGCUGCUGAAAGCCAUGCAUGGGAUGGUGAUUUGCUGCAGAAGUGUAAUUCAAAUUAGAAAGAAUAAACCUGGAGGACUCAUGUUCACGUCCAGCUGUUCUGCUAGGAACUUUCUGACAAAGAGACAUACGCGUGCAGACUUGCAGUAGAAUGAACUUGAAAGAGUGCUUUCUGAAGGAAAUAAUGCCCUUGGUCCAAGUAUGCAUUUAAUGUUAAGUCUAAUAAAUGCGGUUCAGUAUUAAUUAACACGUUAAUAAUUCAGUGAGAUCAAGUGAGCUGAAUGCCUAGCUAGAGGCCGCUUAAGUUCAAGUGGAAUUAAUGAUAUUAAUCCACAUCUUACUCUUGACUGAACCCGUAGGGUCACACAAAUAGUACGUAAACGGAUCAAGUAUUUAAUGGCAUUAAAUACUCCAUCUAUGGAUAUUCGGAAUCGACGGAUCUUGGUUUCAGUGGGAGCUGAGAUCGUGAAAGGCAAGCAAGUGAAUACUCCGGAAACGAUGAUAUUGCCGGAAACGGAAAUAUGGAUCGUAUCGGAAAUAUAAAUAGUAUCCAAGUCGUAGAUGUUGCCGGAAACGGAAACAUGGUACGUAUCGGAAAAUAUUAUUGGAAAUGGAAAUAUUGCCGGAAACGGAAAUAUUGCCGGAAACGGAAAUAUUGUCAGAAUCGGAAAUAUUAUCGAAAUCGGAAAAUAAUUCCGGAAACGGAAAUAUUAAAUAUUUGUUCGAAACGGAAAUUAAUUCCGGAAUCGGAAAUAUUAAAUAUUGUUCGUAUCAGAAAUAAAUUCCGGAAUCGAGAAUUUAAUCGGAAGCGUAUCGUACGAAUUAGCAUCGGACGAGACUUGCUAGACGAAGGCCCAGCACGAAGCCAGGCCCGCGUGCAGCAAGCCAAGCGCCCAACACAACGCAGCCAAGGCCACGCCAGGCCCAGCGCAAGGCCAGGCCCAGCAAAGGCCAAGGCGCGCGCGUGCUGGCUGACGCUCGUGGGCUGCGAGCAGCGCCUGCUCGUGUGGGCCGCAAUGUAGGGGAAUACAGUUAAACAUAAUAACAUGUGCGGAACAAUCCCCAAAGCCAGGAAACAUGUAUAAAGCACAGAUUAAACAAACUUACAUUCGAAGCGUGUUUUCCACAAUAAUCUGUCAACGAACACGAACAAAGAACUCCACUUGUCGUUCCUCUACUUGGUUCACCGACACGAUCAGAUCCGUCUUGAUUAUCGUAGCUUAGACAAUUGAUCAAGAUACUUUGCUUUUGAGAAGAACUCACUUUGGAGGCACAGAGAGAAUUAGGGUUCUCUGUGUCUCUAGGGUUUGAGUAAUAUGAAUUGUGUGUUGGAGAAAAAUACAAUAUGCCUAUGGUAUUAAUGAUGUAACCGGCCAAGAACCAAAGGCCUUGACUGGCCACAUCACGCAAGCACAAACGGACCGCAUGCCCGCGCCCAGCGACACACUGCAGGCCGAAGCCCACAGCGCGCGCGCCGAGCAGCUGGGCCGUGGGCCUUGCUCGCUCGUCGCUGCUGUGCGCUGUUGCGUGCUCGCGCCCAAUGGGCUGGCCUUGCUCGCCUUUUCUCACGAGCUUGCUGGCUCGUUGGGCCUUGCACGCUUACGUGCUUGGCUCGACGGGCCGGCAACUCCGAUGCCCUUUGUAUUCGCGAUUUAAUAUAUUUCCGAUAUAUUAUUUAUCGUUUCGUAUACGACGAAUCACCGUCAUGCGAUACGAUUUAUUCGUCUCGCGUAGCUUACGAAUAUUCGCGAUACGAUAUACGAUUGCGAUGGAAGAUCGUAUCGUAUAAUACGUUUCCAACUUAAAUCCUGAAAAGCUAUUAAAUGAAUUUCCGAUUCAUUUAAUCCGGUGAUCUGUUACGUGUCAUUGGUGUGACCUUGUAGGUUCAGUCAAGAGUAAGUUGUGAGUUCAAUAUCCAUUAGAACUCACUAAUCGGAAGCAUUGCUCCAGCUAGCUGUUCCGAUCACUUGAUCUCACUGAAUUAAUUGUUCGCAAUUAAUCUGAACCUUGGUAUUAGACUUAAUGCACCUUGGGUGAAGGACAUAUUUCCUUCACGCAAGGCCUGCGCGGGCUGUGCGGUACGCUCGUGGUCGUGCAACGUUUGUGUUCGAUACGAAUCCUAAAGCUGAUGGAAUUCGUUCAUUGAUUAAAUCCUAAUCCUAAUAAAGAUAGAACUAGUUUAAAAGAGUUUUAAUGAAAUUCUAAUUAAACUAAUUAGUAUCCUAAUAGGAUUAUAAUUCCUUUCUAUAAACUCUAUAAAUAGGUGCCUAGGGUCACAUAUUUAAAUCGAGGAUUGAAGUAUUCAAAGGUAAGAUUUUGGAACAAAAUCAGCCAAACACUUGUAACCUAUUAGCCGAAAAUUCUUAGAACCUUAAGGGCGAUUCUAGUUGGUCAAGCUUAAGGCGGAUCCGGACGUGAUGUGGACUAUCUCCUAAAGACUUGUUCUUGUUCGGUUCAGGCGCAGCUAGGGAGGGCACGCUACAAAGUGUAUGCAUCUGAAUUAUGCUAAAUGAUUAUGUGUAAAUAAUAUGUUUUCUGGCAUUAAGGUUUUCCGCAUGAUUUAUGUUUUGUCAUAUGUAUCAUAACCUAACAGUGGUAUCACGAGCCUCUUAUUAUUUUCAUAAUCUAAAUUGCAUGAACAUGGUUAAAUUUUACAAAUUUGCAAGGAAUUAAAGGGGUGAUUAGUUUUCGUAAUUAAUUGCAAAUUGCGUUUAUUUAAUUAUAUGUACGCAGUUUUUCGGCAGAAUAUUCGUUACUCAACCAAAUCGAGUGAUUUUUGUGUCAUUUUCGCAUGUAAAAGGCAUUCUAAAAUUUUGACAAAAAUAGUAAUUUUCGGCCGAACCCAGAAUUCCCAAAUUCGAAGCUUAACUAUUACUUUUCGGAGUUUUAAGUUUUUCGAACGCAAAAGUUUGUAAAUUUAAGAUGUUAAAUUGAAUAUUUCCGAUUCUUGUUGAUAAAUCUUGAAUUUUUGAUUGACCUACAGUAUAUGUUUAACAAUUAUGAAUGCCUAGACUUGUUAAUUAUACAACCUAAUUUGUAAUUAUGAUUAAUUUGUUGAAAUUCGAAUAAUUUAGAAUUGAUUUGUUUUUCAUAAUUGAUUAAUAUUUUAAUUAGGUAUCCAUGAUUAAAAUCCACCUUAAAAAUUGUUAAUUUAUCUUAAAUUUUAAUUUUUAUGACCUAGAUUUGAAUCCAUGUUAAUCGGAAAUUAAUUACUUAACAAAUUUUCGAUUUUUCGCCCUAAAAUUAUGAAAUUAAUAUGAUAUAUUAAUUU